UUUUUUUUUUUUUAAAGAAACAAAAGACUUGACAGUCAACGACUUUCAAAGAGAACAACUUCAGCUUAUUCAUAUUCUAUUCAAAGACGGUCUAUUUUUUCACUGUAGACAACGUCCUUGUGUGAUGGUUACGUUCGCAAAUGUGCGUGGCGGGCCCGUGUCUUAGCUUGCUUGAAUCUUCCCCACCAUCAGAAAGUGUGCUUUGCUCACAGAAGAAUGGGAUGUCCUGUUUUCUUUCUGGCUUCCCCCCGCCUUUUUGUUUCAUUUUUAUAAAUUAAAUUUUCAGACAUAUCAAAUACAGUUCUGAGGGUAGGGUCAUGGGGGAACUCGGACCCAGUGGUGUUGGGUUCGAACCCGCGGGGAGUGAGAUGACGGUGCUCCCCCCCGCCCCCGCAGCCUGAGCUGUCUGCCACCCCCUAGGAGACGGGGAGGAUCCUACUUCUUUGGGGACAGUGGCUGUAUCCUGCAUUACAUCAGGGACCCUUUCCCCCGGACUGUGGGGCAGUUUGGGAGCAAAACCAGAAGGACGGGACCCCCUCCACCCAUCCCCCCGAGCAAGCAAGUUGUUCCUCUUUGUACAAGGGCAGAUCUGCGGUUCCUUUCCACACUGUUUAUUCCAGCAGAAGCAGCCGGGUGGUUUUCCCACCCCCGCGUAUGUAGAUAAAUCGACUUUGUAUUAAAGGAAGAUCGUCCGACCCGG